AAAAAGACAAACCUUGGUUUCCGUGUCCAACGUUUGACCGUCCGUCUUAUUUGAAAAAAUUAUGAAAAAAAUAUAAGUCACGCAUAAAGUAUUAAUCAUGUUUUAUCAUCUAACAACAAUGAAAAUACUAAUUAUAGUUUUUUUUAUAAGACGGACAGUUAAAUGUUGGCACGAAAACUCAUGGUUUAUCUUUUU
rnacentral:pre_miRNA from 1 species